UACGUAGGGUGCAAACGUUGCUCGGAAUUAUUGGGCGUAAAGCGCGCGUAGGCGGUUACUCAAGUCGGAUGUGAAAGCCCUCGGCUUAACUGAGGAAGUGCACCCGAAACUGAGUAGCUAGAGUACUAAAGAGGGUCGCGGAAUUCCCGGUGUAGAGGUGAAAUGCGCAGAUAUCGGGAAGAACACCCGUGGCGAAGGCGGCUCUCUGGGACGGUACUGACGCUGAGACGCGAAAGCGUGGGGAGCGAACAGG
rnacentral:rRNA from 1 species